GCGCCGUUAGCUCAAUUGCAGAGAGCAAUUUCCUUCUAAGAAAUGGGUUGUAGGUUGGAAUCCUACACGGUGCG
rnacentral:tRNA from 1 species